rnacentral:rRNA from 1 species
AUUGAACGCUGGCGGCAGGCCUAACACAUGCAAGUCGAGCGGAGCGGCGGACGGGUGAGUAAUGCCUAGGAAUCUGCCUGGUAGUGGGGGAUAACGUUCGGAAACGGGCGCUAAUACCGCAUACUAUCAGAUGAGCCUAGGUCGGAUUAGCUAGUUGGGUGGGUAAAGGCCUACCAAGGCGACGAUCCGUAACUGGUCAGAGAGGAUGAUCAGUCACACUGGAACUGAGACACGUUCCAGACUCCGACGGGAGGCAGCAGUGGGGAAUAUUGGACAAUGGGCGAAAGCCUGAUCCAGCCAUGCCGCGUGUGUGAAGAAGGUCUUCGGUUUGUAAAGUACUUUCAGUUGGGAGGCGUUACCAACAGAAGAAGCACCGGCUAACUCCGUGCCAGCCGCCGCGGUAAUAC